UACGAAGGGGGGCUAGCGUUGUUCGGAUUUACUGGGCGUAAAGCGCACGUAGGCGGAUCUUUUAAGUCAGAGGUGAAAUCCCAAAGGCUCAACCUUGGAACUGCCUUUGAUACUGGGGAUCUUGAAUCCGGGAGAGGUGAGUGGAACUCCUAGUGUAGAGGUGGAAUUCGUAGAUAUUAGGAAGAACACCAGUGGCGAAGGCGGCUCACUGGUCCGGUACUGACGCUGAGGUGCGAAAGCGUGGGGAGCAAACAGGG
rnacentral:rRNA from 1 species